ensembl:lncRNA
AGGAUCAGCACCGCUAAAUCUGAGGCCAUGACUCUUAGCAGGAAACCGGUGGAUUGCUUACUCCGGUUGGUAAGACACACUGGUGAGAGUAACACGAAAAUUCAACUGUGCUUGCUCUCAGUUUGGAAGAAGUGCUGUUUGGAAACGUAACACUGAAAAUUGGAGAGGCUGCCGGUUUUUUACCUAAGGGCCUAGAAACUAAUAGGACUAAGAGGACAAAAGAAAGUGGUUCCUGGUGCUAACUGUUAAUCAUUGCAACCCUAUGGACUUGUGCUCUGUGUUCUAAAUAAAAAGGAAAAAAAAGAGGAAAGACCAAAAACGGAAACAACUGUUGUCUGUCCAAUCCUUGAGUGAAACCCAGUGCCUUCAGAACUCCUUCAGUGUCACAUCCUUUUCGAGUUGGGGAAAAAACACAGUGCUUAAAACCAACCAAACAAAACUGAAAAACUCACCAAAAACAAAACAAAACCGUACAACUUGACAGUAGGGGUUGAUUAUAACUCGUGAAUAAUAUUGUUUAUACCACGGUCUGGGGGAAUACUCGUAUUCUGAUUCUGCCUUCAGUAUUCUGCCCUGCAGUAUUCUGCUGCAGGGCGUGCAUUAACUCCUGAUAUAGGCCUACAGACACCUGCUAAGUAGUUCCAGUCAGUGUUUAGAUUCUCUGCCCGAGCCCGAGCCCGACCCAUAUUUCCCACCACUAUCCUCGGCCCGGGCCUUUGAUCAAGCGUUUUUUAUUUUUAUUUUAUCAUUGGUUUAUUGGCCUAAUCUGAGGAGAAAUCAAUGCCAUAAACAGAAAUAUUAUAGGCCUUCAUUACACGGGUCUUCUCAAUACCGUGGAACGCUCCGUUCACUUGCAUGGGUAGUAGUCCGGUGACUUGUCAACCCCAGCGUCUUCCAUUGCUAAGCGGUGUCACCGUCUUUGCGGACAAAUUAUUUCUCUGCUGAUCAACACUACGAAUGCUGGUCAUGAAUAAAUUGUAAAAAAGACACAGCAUGUGAAGUUUUUUUCGUUUUGGCAAGUAGCCGUGUAAUAAGCGGGAUAAUGUCUAGAACGUCGCCUGUCAUUAUCGAAAAUAAGUCCCUUCAGGGCGAAGCAAGACGCCUUCGCUGCGCGUCGGUGUACUGUUCGCCCUGGCGGGGCUUAUUUUCCCGAUAACGACCGGCGUUCUAUACCUUAUCCCUUACAUAUAUAUUUAGCAGAGUAGGCCUAGUAACAAAUGUGUACAAAGUUACAUAGCCUAUGUAUUAAAAAAAAAUGUCGGGUUGAAAUCGGGCUCGGUCUCAUAAUUAGGCCUACACAGUUAAUGUGUCGGGCCGGGAUCGGACAGAACGUGCACGGGCUCGAUUUUCUGGGCCCGAUCUAAGCUCUAGUUCCAGUCAAAUUGUCUGUUCAGC